GCAGUCGAGCGAAUGGAUUAAGAGCUUGCUCUUAUGAAGUUAGCGGCGGACGGGUGAGUAACACGUGGGUAACCUGCCCAUAAGACUGGGAUAACUCCGGGAAACCGGGGCUAAUACCGGAUAACAUUUUGAACCGCAUGGUUCGAAAUUGAAAGGCGGCUUCGGCUGUCACUUAUGGAUGGACCCGCGUCGCAUUAGCUAGUUGGUGAGGUAACGGCUCACCAAGGCAACGAUGCGUAGCCGACCUGAGAGGGUGAUCGGCCACACUGGGACUGAGACACGGCCCAGACUCCUACGGGAGGCAGCAGUAGGGAAUCUUCCGCAAUGGACGAAAGUCUGACGGAGCAACGCCGCGUGAGUGAUGAAGGCUUUCGGGUCGUAAAACUCUGUUGUUAGGGAAGAACAAGUGCUAGUUGAAUAAGCUGGCACCUUGACGGUACCUAACCAGAAAGCCACGGCUAACUACGUGCCAGCAGCCGCGGUAAUACGUAGGUGGCAAGCGUUAUCCGGAAUUAUUGGGCGUAAAGCGCGCGCAGGUGGUUUCUUAAGUCUGAUGUGAAAGCCCACGGCUCAACCGUGGAGGGUCAUUGGAAACUGGGAGACUUGAGUGCAGAAGAGGAAAGUGGA
rnacentral:rRNA from 2 species